AUCCUCCAGAGCCCUUACCUGUCAGAGCUGGACACUGGCCUGAGUGGUUAUGAGAGGUGGAAAGUUCAAUUGAAAUUGACUUAAAUUCUUUUGUGACACACAAGCUAGUUUCAAACAAAC
rnacentral:snoRNA from 1 species